rnacentral:misc_RNA from 1 species
CAGAUAACAUGGCUGGGGAUAGAAAUGAGGAAACUUCGUCCAAAGGCGAGUCGGCUUUCAACUCUGAUGCUCAGUUGCCGAAGAUGGCUCUUAAGUUGGGAUUCACUCUGCCAGCUUCGUGCUAUGCAACAAUGGCUAUAAGGGAGUUGUUGAAAACUUCAACUUCGGUUGCUUAUCAGAAAUCAAUUAACCAGUAAAGAUGAUUUCCGCAUACUGCUUUCUGAUUAGUACUCAGAAACUAACCCGGAGAAGGAACAUGG